rnacentral:sRNA from 1 species
UUUUUUUUGAUAAACCCUACCGGCUAAUCUGGUCAGCCUCGGCAGAAACGCACCGAAAUAUUUUAGAGUGGACUUCUCACCGAAGGACUACCAUACUGUCUGUUCUGAAUUUGAAAUGUUUUCCGACUAAUGAAAGGGGAUAGUCAGACCGGCUGCAUUUCUAACUACCAGGUAAACCAAUUGACCCAAGGCCUAACUGAGAGACUUCUCAAAACAAAUAUGAUUUUUGUUUUCAGGGAGGAUCGAACUCGGAUCUACAAGUUUCACUAUUCCCUAAAUCUUCUCCUACCACUAGACCAUAGAUGUUUGGGCUACUCAUGCAAUCAUAAGACAUAGAAAUGAAAGGUUUUAUUUCUUUUUAUGUCCCGUUUACAAGUCUCUGGGUAAAUCACUUGAAUAAAUUCACAACCCAAU